rnacentral:rRNA from 1 species
GACGAACGCUGGCGGCGUGCUUAACACAUGCAAGUCGAACGGAAAGGCCUCUUUCGGGGGGUACUCGAGUGGCGAACGGGUGAGUAACACGUGAGUAACCUGCCCUUGACUUUGGGAUAACUUCAGGAAACUGGGGCUAAUACCGGAUAGGAGCUCCUGCUGCAUGGUGGGGGUUGGAAAGUUUCGGCGGUUGGGGAUGGACUCGCGGCUUAUCAGCUUGUUGGUGGGGUAGUGGCUUACCAAGGCUUUGACGGGUAGCCGGCCUGAGAGGGUGACCGGCCACAUUGGGGCUGAGAUACGGCCCAGACUCCUACGGGAGGCAGCAGUGGGGAAUAUUGCACAAUGGGUGGAAGCCUGAUGCAGCAACGCCGUGUGCGGGAUGACGGCCUUCGGGUUGUAAACCGCUUUCGCUCAUGACGAAGCUUUGUGUGACGGUAGUGGGUAAAGAAGCACCGGCUAACUACGU